rnacentral:tRNA from 1 species
CAUAGCUCAGUGGUAGAGCACUUGCCUAGCAUGUGUGAAGCCCUGGGUUCAAUCCCCAGUG